AAUUUCGGGGACGAAAUUUUUUUAACGGAGGUAGAGUUGUAACACCCUGAAUUUGAGCCUAGAAGUUUGGGCCUUGAGCAUGGGAGUGGUUGAAGAAAGCAUAUAAUAUUUUGUUGUGCUUGUAAAUUUCAUUAAUGAAGGCUUGUUUUAGUGGUUAAGCAUGCUGAUAAGUGUUGGAGAAGUCCUGGGUUCAAACCUAGACUCUAGCAAAAAUUUUGGUUUAAGGUGAAUCAAACCCUGGGUGUAGUAGGUAGGCCUUAAAAAUAUUGUUGGAGAACUUGUGCCACAAAAAGCCUUGUGGUCUA
rnacentral:lncRNA from 1 species